rnacentral:rRNA from 1 species
UACCCGCUGAACUUAAGCAUAUCAUUAAGCGGAGGAAAAGAAACCAACAGGGAUUACCUCAGUAACGGCGAGUGAAGCGGUAACAGCUCAAAUUUGAAAUCUGGCCUCACGGUCCGAGUUGUAAUUUGUAGAGGAUGCUUCGAGCAUGGUCUGGCCUAAGUUCCUUGGAACAGGACGUCAUAGAGGGUGAGAAUCCCGUAUGCGGUCAGGUGCCUACGCUCAUGUGAAGCUCCUUCGACGAGUCGAGUUGUUUGGGAAUGCAGCUCAAAAUGGGUGGUAAAUUUCAUCUAAAGCUAAAUAUUGGCCAGAGACCGAUAGCGCACAAGUAGAGUGAUCGAAAGAUGAAAAGCACUUUGGAAAGAGAGUUAAACAGUACGUGAAAUUGUUGAAAGGGAAGCGCUUGCAACCAGACUUGCGCGCAGCCGAUCAUCUGGUGUUCUCACCGGUGCACUCGGUUGCGCUCAGGCCAGCAUCGGUUUUGGCGGCUGGAUAAAGGCCUCAGGAAUGUGGCUCCUCUCGGGGAGUGUUAUAGCCUGGGGUGCAAUGCAGCCUGCUGGGACCGAGGACCGCGCUUCGGCUAGGAUGCUGGCGUAAUGGUUGUAAGCGGCCCGUCUUGAAACACGGA